UGGCGAACGGGUGAGUAACGCGUGAGGAACCUGCCUCAAAGAGGGGGACAACAGUUGGAAACGACUGCUAAUACCGCAUAAGCCCACGGCUCGGCAUCGAGCAGAGGGAAAAGGAGCAAUCCGCUUUGGGAUGGCCUCGCGUCCGAUUAGCUAGUUGGUGAGGUAACGGCCCACCAAGGCGACGAUCGGUAGCCGGACUGGGAGGUUGAACGGCCACAUUGGGACUGAGACACGGCCCAG
rnacentral:rRNA from 1 species